AUGACGCAAACCGGGAACAGCGGCUGAGCCUGCGCUUCGGAAGCAUGGAUGUGCGCCUGCGCUGCGCUAGGGCGCGGCGGGCGGUUUGAAUUUUGCUUACAGAGUCCCGUCUCACCAUCCUGGGCUUCCAACGGAGACUGCGGUAUCCGCAGCUGGAGACCCAGCGGCGAGUAGCCUUUUGCUCCCGGACGGACUUGAGGUUGGAGUCUGUGUGUUGGGGACCCUGCCUUUGGAAGCGCCCGAGGUAGCUGCUUGGCAGCUGGGGGCCGCGGACCGCGCCGGGCUUGGGGGAGGACGGGGCUGGAGGCUGGGUUGGAUGCUUUAGACCCUCCCCUUCUCUCUCACCGGCGGAGUGGGUGGGAAACUGGUUCUUUCCCAUUUCUCGGCCUCCUUACCGAUCCCAAACUGUAAAGCCCCAACCCCUCACAGCACAGGAAAAAUGAUUACCUGGGCCCAUUUCUUUGACAGUGUAACACAUUUUUAAAAAAUGUGUCCUUAUUUUGCGUGUUUAAAGAAAAUACCAAUGUUGUCUUUAUAUACUGUCUAAAACAUAAGCUUAUUUCUCUGGUGAGUGAUUACAACUUUCACUGAAAAUAUAUUCAUAAAGAAGAGUCCUAGCCUCGUUUGAGAUUCUCACUUCCAACACCCUGUGUUUUAAAGCCCCAAAACCUUGGAUCUUAUCCCUAUUAAAAUCAAAUAUAUUCAAUUGCUGAGAUUGACAACCUCCUGUCCAGCAUUGCUCCACACUCCUCAGAUUAGGGCUGCUGCAGCCUCAGCUCACACACCCUGCCUGGUAUGAGGGGGAACCACAGUUCCCUCUUCAUAUUGGAACCCCUGGAAAUUUGCCUUUUUCUCAUGAAAGCUUAGCUGUGGACGUAGAAGGAUGCUUGUUUUACCUCGCAUUUCUAAGUGUUUUAAUAAGUGGAAGAAUUUGCCAGAAACAAAAGACGCAGGAGAGACAUUGUCCUUGCCUCUCGCCUCCUUCUGUUCCAUACUACUUAGAAAUGAGGUUUCAGGAUUGUCCAUGGAGUCAUUUUCUAGGGGCUAAAGCAGUAGACCUUUUUCCACCCCUCUCUAAGGUACAGCUAUCUAUUCUAAGAGUUCGCAUGAGUACUUAUAGCUACUGCUUUUCUAUACACUUUGUUUUCUAUUUUAUUUUUGUUUAUAACAGGCCAGGAACCUACCUUGAAAACUGUAUUAAAUAAAAUAGGAGAUGAGAUCAUUGUAAUAAAUGAACUUCUAAAUAAAUUGGAAUUGGAAAUUCAGUAUCAAGAACAAACCAACAAUUCACUCAAGGUAAUGUUUCUCUAAUGAGGAAGCAGUAAAAAAGACAAUACAUACAAACUCCCUAAUCAUUAAGUAAUUUUUAAGGAUGCUUUGUUUAUAAUGUUUUUUGUUUAUAAAUUAUUAAUGGUACAGUAUGCCAUUUAUGUUUUAUUUUCCUAGUAUAGUGGAAUUUGGAGCUCCACAGCUGCUACUUUCUGCUGAUGGCCAGUGGAAUUGAACUUUACUAAAAAGGAGAGUUUGCUAAUAAUUCUUGGUAGCUUUAAUUUAAACAAUGAUGUUCUAGUAGAGUGGUAUGUAAAGAACACCUGCUUUGGGUGAGGAGAUAUGGAUUCUUACCUUGGUGGUCCUUGGUACUCUCUGCCACCCUGAGAAAGCUAUUUUACCUGUUGGGGUUUCAAGAACCUCAUCUGAAAAAAUAAUGGAUCAUAUUGAACUGUUUCUUAGCUCCCUUAUAUGUCUAUAUUUCUAUAUUUUUAUAAAAGGUAAUAUAAGGGUUCUCAGGUAAAGAAAAACUUGAGCCUCAUUCACAUGCACAUUUUAUUCUAAACAAGCCUUCAAAUUGAGUUCAGCUAAUAAAAGUGCUGGUGCACUUCCUGAGGGGGAAAUAAUCUGUACCAUAAUUACCUCACAUUGUUAGAGCUGGGGAAUUGCUCAGUGGGAUUGAACAAGGGACCUCCCUGACCCCAUUCAGCCUUAUAAUCCUUAAAGUCUGUAAAGAUUGUUCAGCUAUAGGAAUGGGCAUGAUUAUGCCUAUCACUCUAAUAGUCAAAAUGGAAUUGGUAUCCAUGAAUGUCAUUCACCUCUUCAAGGAAAAGACAUUAUAUAAAUUCAAAACAGAAACCAAUACCGGCAUUUCAGUUCUAACCUGCCCAAGAAUGUCCAGGGUUAGGUGUGGGCCUAGAGAAUGCUCAACUCAGAACUGAAGGCUAUUUGGAAUUUCUGUUCACAUUGUGAUUGGGAGCCAGAUGGCGGGAAUCCAAAGGCACAAAAUAUUUUCCUUAUUAAAAUGUGUAUGAGUUCAUAGCCUCAAGUUCUAGUAAAAGUUAGAGACCAAAACACCCCAGCUUUCAAGUAGAAAUUUUCAUUAAGCUGGCAUGUAGGUAGCCCACAGUGGAAGUCAUCCUAAAGCAGCAUCUCAUGCUUGCCAGCUGGGUAUAUUACCAUGCUGUGAUAAUAUGGUUGCUGUUACACAGGUAACACUGGGGAGCAUUUGGUAAGCCAACAAACGCAAUUUAUGAGAAUGAAAAACAUAAGUUCUUUAUAUAUUUCUUAGUUAUCUCCCAAGAUUAAAGUAUUUGAGAAAGACUUAACUUUAGUCCUGCUUUGUAAUUGCAAUGUGAUUAUAGUGAUUGUUCCCUGAAAAAAAUCCAGUAGAGAAAAAUAUUACCACCAUCCAAAAACAGCUCUAGAAACCAAUUUUUUAUUGCUGGAUUCAUUGCUUUUUCACUUCAUUCUGCAUUUUCGGUACUCCAGUCAAUGUGGUUUUUUUUUUUUUUUUUUUUUGAGACGAGCCUUUCUCUGUCGCCCAGGCUGGAGUGCAGUGGCGCGAUCUCAGCUCACUGCAGCCUCCUCCUCCCAGGUUCAAGCAGUUCUCCCCCCUCAGCCUCCUGAGUAGCUGGGACUAUAGGCGCGUGCCACCACGCCCGGCUAAAUUUUUGUAUUUUUAGUAGAGAUGGGGUUUCACAGUGUUAGUGGGGAUGGUCUCGAUCUCCUGACCUCAUGAUCCACCCGCCUUAGCCUCCCAAGGUGCUGGGAUUACAGGCAUGAGCCACCGCGUCCAGCCACAGUCACUGUGAUUAUGGUUCACUGUUUUCCCUGCUCUUUAGAAUAUCUUAAAACACACAUGGGGAGGACAGAGACUUAUUUGUGAGCACUUUUAAAUUUUAGGAACUCUGUGAAUCUCUUGAAGAAGAUUACAAAGACAUAGAACAUCUUAAAGAAAACGUUCCUUCCCAUUUGCCUCAAGUAACAGUAACCCAGAGCUGGUAAGUGUAUUUAUAAUUAUUCUUGCUAUCUGGAUUUAUAAACCCAUGAAAACAAGUUCUUCAAAGCCUUUUGUUCUUUCAUAUACUUGCAGUUUUGUCAGCGAUGAUCUAGUUUUUUGUCACCUAUACUAAAAACAGUAUUUCCAUGUUCACCAGUUUUCUUAUCUUGGUGUCUCUGAGGAAAAUCUAACACUUCUUUCCCAGUUUGCCAAGGGCAAGUCUCUCUAGCCUCUCUUUUUUCACUCAUUUCUUUCCCUGAGAGCAGUUUGUCAACUGACGUUUGUUCCUUGACAUUUUAGGCAGGUUAAUUUUUUGUUAUGAGAAUAGGACAUUGAGUAGUGUUCUUGAUCUCUGCCUACUAGAUUCUGGUAGCAUCCCUCCAUCCCACCCAUUCACGACAAUGAAAAAUGUCUCCAGACAUUGCCAAAUGCCUCUGAGGGCAAAAUCUUCCCCGACCAUUGAGAACCACUGCCUUUGGGUAAAAAUAAGCUUAAGGAAGUUACCAUUUUAAAAAUAGCUAAAGAGGCUGGGCACAGUGGCUCACGCCUAUAAUCCUAGCAUUUUGGGAAGCCAAGGCAGGCAGAUUGCUUGAGCCCAGGAGUUUGAGACUAGCCUGGGCAACAUGGUGAAACCCCAUCUCUGCUAAAAAUACAAAAAAUUAGCCAGACACAGUGGCACACCCCUGUAGUCCCAGCUACUCAGGGAGCUGAGGCGGGAGGAUUGCUUGAGUCUGGCAGGUCAAGGCUGCGGUGAGCCCUGAUGGUGCUACUGCACUCCAGGCUGGGCGACAGAGUAAGACCCUGCCUCAAAAUAAAUAAAUAAAUAAAAGCCAAAGGAACAAUAAGCUUAGCUCUUUUUUCCCCUCAAAUGUCCAUCCUCUCUCUCUUCCCCCUUACAAGGUGUGUCUGUGCUUCUGCUUUUUCCCCGAGGCCCUAACACCUGGCUUUUGGCUGUCAUUGCCACCACACCUAGGGUGGUUGAAGGUCAUGAAGAGGUCAAAAAUCCCUCGUCA
rnacentral:lncRNA from 10 species